UCUCUUUCUUCUUCUAUAAUCCGAUUUGCAUUCAGCCGUGACUGCAACACUCCAGCCAAGGAAGCCAUCGUGACUCCAGUUAAGGCAGCUUUGCGACUCUAGCCGUGACUCCAACUCCAACUCCUUUGGUUUCCUCUCCCAUCUCAGACAACCAUCGUAAGAAACGUGGUCGGUCAAGAGGAUUCGCUACAACUUCUUUGCCAAGUGGCCAAAAGGUAAAAGUUAGGACCAAUCAUUAUCACCAAGGGGUUGGUAAGGAGGCAUCACGAUUACUUACAUGGAUGGGCACACAUGUAAGGACACCUACCACGAUGCCACUAAAUUAUUGGGAAUGGCAGAAAGUUCCUCAACACUAUAAGGAAUCAAUUUGGGAAAAAGUUAUGGACUAUUAUGAAAUUGAAGUUUUAGCAAAAAAAAUGGGUUUUUCGAAUAAUGGGUAUCCAGUGGAAGGACUUCAAGCUUGAAUUACAAGAAUUAUAUGAUAAAUCAAUGACGAUUGAUGAAUGCUUUGCAAAACGUGAUGUCCGUGUUCCAUUGGAUCAGUGGAAAUUUCUUAUAGAUAUGUGGGGUGAUGUGAAGUAUCAGGAAAUGUUUUCGCAGAAUAAAGAGAAUAGAAAGCUACAGAAAAUGAGUCACACUGCGGGCCGAUAAAGUUUUGACCCAAGUUUUUUAUGAAAAGGAGAUCGGUGAAGAACCGUUAAAGAUCGAUUUUUACAAGAUAACACAUGUGAAAAAGAACUUAGAACCAGUUGAUGAAGAAUCAGGCAAAAAGCUGAAAGAGAUGGAAGAUAAGUUAGCGGCGAUGCCAGUAGAAUUACAGAAAAACAAAGAGACUCAUGAAUCCAUAUGGACACUAUCAUUUGGUGAGGAAUCACAUGACCGAGUGCGCCUAGUUGGAGUUGGGGUAAGCCCAAAAGACCUUGAAUCGUCGAAAAGUAAUGCCGCACCCAAUCGGAAGAACAAGGAGUUGCAAAAUAAAGUGGAGAUGCUGUAGGAGAAGAUGGAAUUAGAAAGGAAGAAGAAUGAAGAUGUGAUUAGCAGUAUGCAAUCACAAAUUGAAAAAGUUACCCAACUCUUCAUGAAUAGAAGCUUGCAAGAUUCAGUUAAUCUAGGUAAAGAUUAGUUCUUCUCAAUUUUGAUGUUAGAGAUUAUAGUUUUAUCAAUAACGAUAUCCAUAAAUUUGUGAUCAUCUUUUGUUUUCAAAAACCUGGAAGUAACUAAUUGAAAAUUCAGCUUCUACAUGAAUGUUAUACAUUUCCUACUCUUGGGUUGACAUAAUUGAGAUGAUUUUCUCUUAUUCUAAGGGUUUAUAGAUAGAAAAUGAGGGCAUCAUGCUAGCAGGAGAAGUGAAUGAGAUCCAAGACCUUUACAAAUCAAAUUUGAUUUACAUUUCACAUGAGAGGAAAAAUGUAUCUUCAAAUUCGGCCCAAGGAACCAAACUCUAGCCAUUGUAGAAGAUUCUCUCUUAGCAAAAUCUACAGAAUAAAUUUCAAAGAUUUCUGAUGAGGUGGACGAAUUCUACAAUGAAGAUUUAGGUUGAGUCAACCUUCUAUUUUGGUUUUUAACCACAUGUUGGGAUGAAUUUUUAGUAGUUUCAUAUUUGUGAUCCUCUACAUUAGAAAAUAUUCUAGAAGAACAUAUCUUCUAUUUUGGGAUUAAGGGAAAUAUUGUAAAGAGAAUUGGAUUAUCAAUUUUGGGUAGUUUCUAUUAUAGGGUUUGAUUCUUAUUUGCUUUCUAUUUUUCUUUCAUCUUUCUUUAGGUAGCUGAACUCUAUAAAUAGAGGAGCUCUCCUCUCUCAACCAGAACAAGCUCCCUCUCCCUUAUCUCUCUUCUUUCACUUCAUUAGUUUAUGUUUACAAGUUGUAAUUUUUUAUUUUCUCUCUAAACUUUCAUUGGAACCAUUAAAGUUGUAAUUGAAGAUUUAGAAGCAUCUUCGGAGUUUGGAUAUGCGAAAGCUUGGAAUUUAUUCUCUUCUUCAAUAAAAUUCCGUAGUUGUUCUUCAA